rnacentral:lncRNA from 1 species
UGAUUGUAAGGUGUACAUGUCUAGCGGGCAGAUGUCAUCUGACCUUGACCUCAUUUUCAUGGUUGAGUGGUCAAAGUUUAAGUUUUUGAGUUUUGGUCUUUUUAUUUAAUACUAUAUGCCAUAGGUCAACUAUAUUUGGUGUAUGGAAAUAUUUUAUGAUCUAUAUGUCAGUUGCGCAGGUUUUAUUUGACCUCGACCUCAUUUUCACGGUUCAUUGCUCAGUGUUAAGUUUUUGUGUUUUGGUCUAUUUUUUCUUAAACUAUAAGUAAUAGGUCAACUAUAUUUGUUGUAUGGAAGCAUUGUUAGCUGUACAUGUCUGCCUGGCAUGGUUCAUCUGACCUUGACCUCAUUUUCAUGGUUCAUUGGUCUUUGUUUAGUUAUCUUGGUUAAUGUUAAGUUUAUGUGACAGUUUUUAAUAAAGCUUUAUACUUAGGACUAUCAACAUAAUAUCAAUGAUUAGUAAAGAAGGCGAGACAUUUCAGCGUGUGCACUCUUGUUUAAUAUUUUUAAAAUAAAAUCACUUCAUUGAUAAUAUUUAGGAUAUAAUAUUAAUACUUUAGAACUGCAAAAUGAAUUGUUAUUUAACUCUGAAAUCAAAAAUCUGUUUGAAUUGACAUACUUAUUGUAAAACAGAUAGAUACGAGUCAAAGCUCACCAACAUGAUAUUUUACUUUUAUGAAUAUCUUAGCAUAAGGUCCGAGAACAAAGUUAUUUCGUAGUGCAUUUCUUAUAGACAAUAGAUGAAAAUUAAGAAAAUCCCACCUGCGCUUUCUUCAUUAUAUUUUCAAAGUGUGUUGAACUACUAUUGGGACAAAUUAUGUCAAAAUUAUAGAAAACUUCAUCAGUAAUUUAUCCCCUAAUUGCUAUUGGAGGCAUAAAACAUAAAUAAAUAAAUUUGGAAGGGGUAUUAAAAAAAUUUAGCAUAUGCCUAACAGGGACUAUAUUUGUAGAAAGGACGAUAACUGUGUUCCCGGACCACAAGAAAUCUUUUACGUAAAUUAUCUUUUUAAAGUAGUCUUUAGCAGAAUCUCAACCUAUUGCUAUUAGUUUUUGCAAUUUUCAAGUCCUUAAGCCUAAAUGCAAAUAUAUAUCAAUUAUCAGCCAUGUUAAUUUCAUAUGGAUAUGUGGAGCUUGUGAUUUAACAUUUUUUUUUUUAAUUUUCUUUUGAUUUUCAAAAAAACAUGUAAUAACUAUCGCCAUAAAAAGUGGCCAUAUAGUUUCUCCAUUUCUAGGAGGAAAUCAUUUUUAAGGGUUUUUUUUAACCUUUCUUUAAUUUAACACACGACCCUAGAGUCUAUAAUACUAUUCAAUCAAUUGGUACAAUGAUCUCAUCAUAGAUAUCAUGUUUUAAAUUGUGUGCACCUGUUAUACAUGAUAAUGUAUCCUCCACAAAUAUCGGAUUGAAAUUUAAAAGUUUUUUUGAUUGAAUUAUUGUAAUCCUGUAAGAUAAGUAUUUUUUAUUCAAAGGCAAAAAGGUUUACAGCUAUCUAAAUUUUCCCCCAAAACAAUUUUUGAAUUACCAUUUAACAUAUUUUGUCAAAAGAUCGUGAUUCAGUGGUGAAGUAAUUAAUGCUGGGACAAUAGUCCCAGAACAAUAUGUACAACAAAAUGGUAUAAAAACAUGGCUUCUGUUAGUAGAAGUAACAAUUUCAUGUAUAUUUAUACGAUCGCAAAAACAUUUUUUGCGUUGUAUAAUGGUAUCAUGUUGUCGUCUGCUCGUCGUCGUCCGAAGACACAUUUAGUUUCCGGACAACAACUUUUGUUUUAGUAGAUGGAUCUCUAUAAAUUUUUACCAGAAGGUUCAAUACCACAAAAUCAAAGUUGGAAUUGAUUAUUGGGGUUAUGGUCCCAAUAAUUUAGGAAUAAGGGGCCAAAAAGGGGGCCGAAAAAAAGCAUUUUUGUAGUUUUCAAACAAUAACUUGUGUUAAAGUGUAUGAAUCUCUCUGAAAUUAUACCACAAGUUUCCAUACUAUGAAGCGAUGGUACGAAUUGACUUUGGGGGGUUAUUGCUCAAAAUAUUUUGGAAUGAGGGGCCAAAGGGCAAAAAAAGGGGGAAAACUAGGUUUUUCUGGGCAAUGGACAAUUUAAACAAUUUAAAAGCAGUGUAAGGGAGGUAAUUCAAAAUCAUUUACAUACAACGUUGGGCAUGUUCAGAUAACACUACUUGUAAAUUAUGUAUAAAGAAAUGUCAGGUUUUGGACUAAUUGCAAAAAAAAAGGGGUGGAAGUAGUUUUCAAUUAUUUUUUCAAAAUUUCUCAAAUUCCAAAUCUUUUAAAAGUUUGAAGAAGAAAUCUUUAAUUGCACAAUAUUGCAUAAUAGAUUUGUAAAAUCUUGACAUUUGUUUUGUGUCAUAAACUAAUAUUAUGUCAAAACUUUGAUCACAACCCAAAUUCAGAGCUGUAUCAAGGUUGAAUGUUGUGUCCAUACCUGCCCCAACUGUUCAGGGUUCAACCUCUGCGGUCGUAUAAAGCUGCGCCCUGUGGUGCACCUGGUUAUUAAUUAUGGACACCAUAACAAAGCAUUAAAAGUUUUUCCACAUUAUAUUUGUAUUUGUUUGUAUAUUUUUAUGACAAUAAAUA